GAUGAACGCUGGCGGCGUGCCUAAUACAUGCAAGUCGAGCGAACAUACGAGGAGCUUGCUCCUCUGACGUUAGCGGCGGACGGGUGAGUAACACGUGGAUAACCUACCUAUAAGACUGGGAUAACUUCGGGAAACCGGAUCUAAUACCGGAUAAUAUAUUGAACCGCAUGGUUCAAUAGUGAAAGACGGAUUUGCUGUCACUUAUAGAUGGAUCCGCGUCGCAUUAGCUAGUUGGUAAGGUAAAGGCUUACCAAGGCAACGAUGCGUAGCCGACCUGAGAGGGUGAUCCGCCGCACUGGAACUGAGACACGGUCCAGACUCCUAAGGGAGGCAGCAGUAGGGAAUCUUGCGCAAUGGGCGAAAGCUUGACGGAGCAACGCCGCGUGAGUGAUGAAGGUCUUCGGAUCGUAAAACUCUGUUAUUAGGGAAGAACAAAUGUGUAAGUAACUAUGCACGUCUUGACGGUACCUAAUCAGAAAGCCACGGCUAACUACGUG
rnacentral:rRNA from 1 species